UCUCUCCUCGUGUUACCCACUCUCUCUCCUUUUCUCUCCACAGGUAUCAACUUGGGCACAAUAGCACAGUUAGUUUGCUUUGAAUGGCUCUCACCUCUGGGCUGGACACAGCGUACUGUAAGUACAGGUUUCCUCUGUUUCUCCUUGUGUUACUCACUCUCUUUUUCCUUUUCUCUCCACAGGUAUCAGAUUGGACACAAAGCACAGUUAGUUUGCUUUGAAUAGCUCCCACCUCUGGGCUGAACACAGCGUACCGUGCUAUCUCCGGAGAUCUGAAGCAC